UUUAUACCCCCACAAACGAAGUUUAGGGGGGGUAUAUAGGAGUCAGCUUGUCGGUCGGUCGGUCGGUCGGUCGGUCGGUCCGUCGGUCGGUCCACAACAUGGUUUCCGGACGAUAACUAGAGUUUGGAAUGAGGUAUUGUAAUCAAACUUGGUAUAUAGCAACCUUAUGUGAAAACUCCGGUUGGUAUUGCAUUUGGAUCCCCUGGGGUCAAGGUCACCGUUACUAAAAAUAGAAAAAUGGUUUCCGGACAAUAACUACAGUUAGGAAUGAGAUAUUGUUAUCAAACUUGGUGUAUAGCAAGCUUAUAUGAAGACCUGGGUUGGUAUUGCAUUUGGACCCCCUGGGGUCAAGGUCAAGGUCACCGUUACUAAAAAUAGAAAAAUGGUUUCCGGACAAUAACUAGAGUUAGGAAUGAGAUAUUGUUAUCAAACUUGGUGUAUAGCAAGCUUAUAUGAAGACCUGGGUUGGUAUUGCAUUUGGACCCCCUUGGGUCAAGGUCAAGGUCACCGUUACUAAAAAUAGAAAAAUGGUUUCCGGACAAUAACUUGAGUUAGGAAUGAGAUAUUGUAAUCAAAAUUGGUGUAUAGCAAGCUUAUAUGAAGACCUGGGUUGGUAUUGUUUUUGGACCCCCUGGGGUCAAGGUCAAGGUCACCGUUACUAAAAAUAGAAAAAUGGUUUCCGGACAAUAACUAGAGUUAGGAAUGAGAUAUUGUUAUCAAACUUGGUG